rnacentral:rRNA from 1 species
GACGAACGCUGGCGGCGUGCUUAACACAUGCAAGUCGAGCGGUAAGGCCCUUCGGGGUACACGAGCGGCGAACGGGUGAGUAACACGUGGGUGACCUGCCCUCAGCUCUGGGAUAAGCCUGGGAAACCGGGUCUAAUACCGGAUACGACCAUUGGAUGCAUGUCUGGUGGUGGAAAGUUUUUUCGGCUGGGGAUGGGCCCGCGGCCUAUCAGCUUGUUGGUGGGGUGAUGGCCUACCAAGGCGGUGACGGGUAGCCGGCCUGAGAGGGCGACCGGCCACACUGGGACUGAGACACGGCCCAGACUCCUACGGGAGGCAGCAGUGGGGAAUAUUGCGCAAUGGGCGGAAGCCUGACGCAGCGACGCCGCGUGGGGGAUGACGGCCUUCGGGUUGUAAACCUCUUUCGCCAGGGACGAAGCUUUUGUGACGGUACCUGGAGAAGAAGCACCGGCCAACUACGUGCCAGCCGCCGCAGUAAAAC